rnacentral:tRNA from 1 species
GGCCCCGUGGUACAAUGUCCGCCCGGCUGACGCCAGUCGGACGGGGAUAGUACGUAGGUCUCCGGAACCUAGGAUCCAGGUUCGAUUCCCGGCGGGGCUA